UGCCAAACAGGAACCUGCGAGAUGUCGCAAGAGGCUCAUUCUCCUUAUUUCCCUGUCUGUGAUGUCAUCUACAGAAUACACUUUGUGCAACUCACGACAAUGUGAAAAAUCCACCUGGCGACACAGAAGAGUAACAUACCUCAUCUAUCGUGGAAGGAGGUUUACUUGAUGGGAAGAACACAUAACGGACACAUCGCAGGAAUAGUUUCAGAACGUAAGUGACGACCGGGAUGGACAAUAAGGCAGCACAAA